rnacentral:rRNA from 1 species
AUUGAACGCUGGCGGCAGGCUUAACACAUGCAAGUCGAGCGGUAACAGAGAGAAGCUUGCUUCCCUGCUGACGAGCGGCGGACGGGUGAGUAAUGCCUAGGAAUCUGCCUAGUAGUGGGGGAUAACUUGCCGAAAGGUAAGCUAAUACCGCAUACGUCCUACGGGAGAAAGGAGGGGACCUUCGGGCCUUUCGCUAUUAGAUGAGCCUAGGUCGGAUUAGUUAGUUGGUGAGGUAAUGGCUCACCAAGACCGCGAUCCGUAACUGGUCUGAGAGGAUGAGCAGUCACACUGGAACUGAGACACGGUCCAGACUCCUACGGGAGGCAGCAGUGGGGAAUAUUGGACAAUGGGGGGAACCCUGAUCCAGCCAUGCCGCGUGUGUGAAGAAGGUCUUAGGAUUGUAAAGCACUUUAAGUUGGAGGACGAGCAGUUAACUAAUAUUUGACUGUUUUGACGUUACCGACAGAAUAAGCACCGGCUAACUUCGUGCCAGCCGCCGCGGUAA